AUUGAACGCUGGCGGCAGGCCUAACACAUGCAAGUCGAGCGGCAGCGGGAAAGUAGCUUGCUACCUUUGCCGGCGAGCGGCGGACGGGUGAGUAAUGCCUGGGAAAUUGCCCAGUCGAGGGGGAUAACAGUUGGAAACGACUGCUAAUACCGCAUACGCCCUACGGGGGAAAGCAGGGGACCUUCGGGCCUUGCGCGAUUGGAUAUGCCAAGGUGGGAUUAGCUAGUUGGUGAGGUAAUGGCUCACCAAGGCGACGAUCCCUAGCUGGUCUGAGAGGAUGAUCAGCCACACUGGAACUGAGACACGGUCCAGACUCCUACGGGAGGCAGCAGUGGGGAAUAUUGCACAAUGGGGGAAACCCUGAUGCAGCCAUGCCGCGUGUGUGAAGAAGGCCUUCGGGUUGUAAAGCACUUUCAGCGAGGAGGAAAGGUCAGUAGCUAAUAUCUGCUGACUGUGACGUUACUCGCAGAAGAAGCACCGGCUAACUCCGUGCCAGCCGCCGCGGUAAAAC
rnacentral:rRNA from 1 species